CCCUGGUAGUCCCAGCCUUAAACGGUGUACCACUUGGUGUGGGAGGAUUUGACCCCUUCUGUGCCGGAGCUAACGCGUUAAGUGUACCGCCUGGGGAGUACGGCCGCAAGGUUAAAACUCAAAGAAAUUGACGGGGGCCCGCACAAGCGGAGGAGCAUGUGGCUUAAUUCGAUGCAACGCGAAGAACCUUACCAGGACUUGACAUGCAACUGCACGUCCCGUGAAAGCGGGAUUCCUUCGAGGGUGUUGCACAGGUGCUGCAUGGCUGUCGUCAGUUCGUGCCGUGAGGUGUUGGGUUAAGUCCCGCAACGAACGCAACCCUUGUGUUUAGUUGCCACCAUCGGUGAUGAAUCGAUGAGCACUCUAAACAGACUGCCCAUAUCAAAUGGGAGGAAGGUGGGGAUGACGUCAAGUCAGUAUGGCCUUUAUGUCCUGGGCUGCACACGUGCUACAAUGGCCGGUACAAUGGGAUGCAAGACCGCGAGGUGGAGCUGAUCCUCUAAAACCGGUCUCAGUUCAGAUUGAAGUCUGCAAUUCGACUUCAUGAAGCUGGAUUCGCUA
rnacentral:rRNA from 1 species